CCCCUAGAUGUUCUGGGCCGCACGCGCGCUACACUGAACAGUUCAACAAGUCUUAACCUUGGCCGAUAGGUCUGGGUAAUCUUUGAACGCUGUUCGUGAUUGGGAUAGACCUUUGCAAUUAUGGGUCUUCAACGAGGAAUUCCUAGUAAACGCAAGUCAUCAGCUUGCAUUGAUUACGUCCCUGCCCUUUGUACACACCGCCCGUCGCACCUACCGAUUGAAUGGUCUGGUGAAAUCUCGGGACGGCGGCUUGGUCGCUUGCGUCCGACUGCUGAAACUUGAUUAAACCAUAUCAUUUAGAGGAAGGUGAANUCGUAACA
rnacentral:rRNA from 1 species